rnacentral:rRNA from 1 species
CGAACGCUUUUUCUUUCACCGGAGCUUGCUCCACCGAAAGAAAAAGAGUGGCGAACGGGUGAGUAACACGUGGGUAACCUGCCCAUCAGAAGGGGAUAACACUUGGAAACAGGUGCUAAUACCGUAUAACACUAUUUUCCGCAUGGAAGAAAGUUGAAAGGCGCUUUUGCGUCACUGAUGGAUGGACCCGCGGUGCAUUAGCUAGUUGGUGAGGUAACGGCUCACCAAGGCAACGAUGCAUAGCCGACCUGAGAGGGUGAUCGGCCACACUGGGACUGAGACACGGCCCAGACUCCUACGGGAGGCAGCAGUAGGGAAUCUUCGGCAAUGGACGAAAGUCUGACCGAGCAACGCCGCGUGAGUGAAGAAGGUUUUCGGAUCGUAAAACUCUGUUGUUAGAGAAGAACAAGGAUGAGAGUAAAAUGUUCAUCCCUUGACGGUAUCUAACCAGAAAGCCACGGCUAACUACGUGCCAGCAGCCGCGGUAAUACGUAGGUGGCAAGCGUUGUCCGGAUUUAUUGGGCGUAAAGCGAGCGCAGGCGGUUUCUUAAGUCUGAUGUGAAAGCCCCCGGCUCAACCGGGGAGGGUCAUUGGAAACUGGGAGACUUGAGUGCAGAAGAGGAGAGUGGAAUUCCAUGUGUAGCGGUGAAAUGCGUAGAUAUAUGGAGGAACACCAGUGGCGAAGGCGGCUCUCUGGUCUGUAACUGACGCUGAGGCUCGAAAGCGUGGGGAGCGAACAGGAUUAGAUACCCUGGUAGUCCACGCCGU